AUGGACGCUUCAGCUCUCAACGACCCGAGGUUUCAGGCGCUCUUAGAGGAGGAGAAGAAAAAGGCCAUGAUGAAUGAGAUGAUAGCGAAGCUGACUGACACUUGCUGGGACAAAUGCAUCACCGGAAGCAUCGGGAGCAGCUUCAGCAACAGCGAAACCUCUUGCCUGUCCAACUGCGCAAAACGCUUUAUUGAUGUUAAGAUGCUCACCAUGCAACGAGCAAACAGCAGUAGCUAG
rnacentral:rRNA from 1 species